rnacentral:rRNA from 1 species
UUUCUGCAGUCACUCCCUUGAUCAAAUUAGGUUGUUCAAGGGUAGACCAAGUCUUCAUAUUUUCACAUGAAUUGGGUGAGGGAACUUAAGAGUUAAAGUUUCUCGUCUUAGGAUCAUCCGGGGUCAUUCGUACUCGUCCGCGAGAGGUGAAAUUCUUGGGCCGGACGAAGACGACCAGCAGCGAAAGCAUCUGUCAGGGAUGUUUUCUGCGACAAAGGACGAAGGUCAGGGUAUCGAAGACGAUUAGAUACCGUCGUAGUCCUGACUGUAAACUAUGCCAACUUGGGUCUUGCUGGGCGAUGCUUUGUGAGACCCACACAGAAAUGAAAGUGUAUGGGUUCUGGGGGUAGUAUGGACACAAGUCUGAAACUUGAAGGAAUUGACGGAAGAGCACCAUAAGACGUGGAGCUUGCGGCUUAAUUUGACUCAACGCGGGAAAACUUACCAGGUCAAGACAUGGGCGUGAUUGACAGGCUAAUGACUUUUCUCGAUUCCAUGGAUGGUGGUGCAUGGUCGCACUUAGUUGGUGCAGUGAUUUGUCAGGUUUAUUCCGGUAACGAACGAGACCUCGGCCUUGUAAAUAGCUAUGCUGCUUACAGGGACAUUGGCGGCUACGCCAAGGAAGCUCGAGGCAAUUGCAGAUCUGGAAUGCCCUUAGAUGUCCUGGGUCGCACGCGUGCUACAAUGACGCCACGAACGAGCUUGCAUGAUGAAAGUUAUGCAUAAUCAGCAGUCGGCGUCUUAAGGGAUAGUCUCUUGUAACUGUGGGACUCCAACUAGGAAUGUCUCGUAAGCACAAGUCAACAUCUUGUGUUGAUUACGUCCCUGCUCCUUGUACACACCGCCC